GUCAAGCAAUUCGUGAUGGCGUCCAUAAAAUUAACGAAGGGAUGAUUUCAACUUCACCAUUUGGAACUCUUGGUUUAAUAGCUUCCUUGUGAGAAAAUGCGAAUUCUAGAAAUGCCCCCACCAGUACGUAUGCCAGACAAAGAAAAGAUGGCCUUCGUUAUCGACAAUUACGCCAAAUAUAGAAGAGACGAAAUCAUAAGAAAGGAAUAUAUUAGAUGUGUUGCCUCUACAUACUCGGCAAGAACAGAUUUAUGAUUUGAAUGUAUUCCGUUUUUAUGGAUUUGAAUGCUGUACAUAUAUUUUUGAUUCGUCAUUUUAGUAUAAACAAAGUGCUUUUAUCUUAGGUUUUUACUUCUUGAUUUUAAGCAGGAGACAACAGUUAUAUACAUGUUAUGAUUGACAAUUCAUAAC
rnacentral:lncRNA from 1 species